rnacentral:rRNA from 1 species
CGGACGGGUGAGUAAUGUCUGGGAAACUGCCUGAUGGAGGGGGGUAACUACUGGAAACGGUAGCUAAUACCGCAUAACGUCGCAAGACCAAAGAGGGGACCUUAGGGCCUCUUGCCAUCGGAUGUGCCCAGAUGGGAUUAGCUAGUAGGUGGGGUAAUGGCUCACCUAGGCGACGAUCCCUAGCUGGUCGGAGAGGAUGACCAGCCACACUGGAACUGAGACACGGUCCAG